GUGAACGCUGGCGGUAGGCCUAACACAUGCAAGUCGAACGGCAGCACCGUAAGAGCUUGCUCUUACGGGUGGCGAGUGGCGGACGGGUGAGGAAUACAUCGGAAUCUACUUUUUCGUGGGGGAUAACGUAGGGAAACUUACGCUAAUACCGCAUACGACCUACGGCUGAAAGCAGGGGAUCUUCGGACCUUGCGCGAUUGAAUGAGCCGAUGUCGGAUUAGCUAGUUGGCGGGGUAAAGGCCCACCAAGGCGACGAUCCGUAGCUGGUCUGAGAGGAUGAUCAGCCACACUGGAACUGAGACACGGUCCAGACUCCUACGGGAGGCAGCAGUGGGGAAUAUUGGACAAUGGGCGCAAGCCUGAUCCAGCCAUACCGCGUGGGUGAAGAAGGCCUUCGGGUUGUAAAGCCCUUUUGUUGGGAAAGAAAAGCAGCAGGUUAAUACCCCGCUGUUCUGACGGUACCCAAAGAAUAAGCACCGGCUAACUUCGUG
rnacentral:rRNA from 1 species